UGGGGAAUAUUGGACAAUGGGCGCAAGCCUGAUCCAGCCAUGCCGCGUGAGUGAUGAAGGCCUUAGGGUUGUAAAGCUCUUUUGUCCGGGAAGAUAAUGACUGUACCGGAAGAAUAAGCCCCGGCUAACUUCGUGCCAGCAGCCGCGGUAAUACGAAGGGGGCUAGCGUUGCUCGGAAUCACUGGGCGUAAAGGGCGCGUAGGCGGACUUUUAAGUCGGAGGUGAAAGCCCAGGGCUCAACCCUGGAAUU
rnacentral:rRNA from 1 species